UACGUAGGGUGCAAGCGUUGUCCGGAAUUAUUGGGCGUAAAGAGCUCGUAGGCGGUUUGUUGCGUCGGCUGUGAAAUCCCGAGGCUCAACCUCGGGUCUGCAGUCGAUACGAGCAAACUAGAGUGUUGCAGGGGAGACUGGAAUUCCUGGUGUAGCGGUGAAAUGCGCAGAUAUCAGGAGGAACACCGGUGGCGAAGGCGGGUCUCUGGGCAACAACUGACGCUGAGGAGCGAAAGCGUGGGGAGCGAAUAGG
rnacentral:rRNA from 1 species